UGUGAAUUUGUGAAAAGGAUCAUUUCAAAAAUAUUUGAUCAAAUUUAUAUUAGUGAUGAUUCUAUUACCAAUAUAGUAUAAAUGUAUUAGAGGUGUCAAAAUGGCUGAAAUACUAAAUUCGAAUUUUUUACUUAAAUAUUAUCAUCAUUAUUUUGCUUCUCUCAUGAGGCCACAACAGAAUUCUAACGCAUAAUUAUAUUCGAAUGCAACGUUUUUGCAUUCAAAUGUGGAUUUCUAUUUUAAAUUCGACAAAUUAAUUAUAUAAAUACUAUUAUUACUAUAUAAGCACCAUUUCUAUUAAUUAUAUAAAUAUUAUAAAUACUUAAAAUAAAAAUAAAAUAAAAUAAAUUUAAUAAAUAAAAUAGUUAAAAAUAAAAAAUCUUAGUUUCUCAAUCCUGCUCCUUGUUUUACAUCAGGGUAGGGUUGGGAAGCCAUAGUGCAGGGCCACCAGGGGCAGUAUUGAGAAACACUUUAAAAUAUCUACAAACAUUUGACAGUGAGGGACAGCUUUUACACAAUUGGCAUGGCUACAGUUCUCAGAAAUAAUAAUUUUGUCCAUUAUUCAGUAGUUUCCCGGAGAGAGAUCUUCAUGUGUUUUGCCCACAACAAAACUUGUGUUGUAUGUUGGUCUGGAGCAGGUGGAACCGUCAUAAAGAUGAUUAAGAGCAGGAAUGCUCUUGAAAGCUUUCGGGAACAACUAGAACCACCUCCAGACUGCAUACAACACUUUAAGGCAAACACAUCUCUCUUUGUGAAAUCUCUUUCUGGCGGUUCGAGUGCCAGAGCGGACUCAGUGGAACAGUAAACAAAGCUGUGUGAGCAACUAAAAAUGUUCACUGCAACUGGCCCACAAAGACUGCCUUGCUAAAGACAACGCAAGGCCGUCCUUAGGGUGGUGCAACUGGUACAGCUGCACUGUGCCCUGCACUUUAGGGAACAGACCGAUGGGGCAGUUGGCCCCCAACCCCAACCUGGAACGCUCCCUACCUCGCACUGGGUCCACGCUAGCUUAGGAUGACACUGGCACGACGAUAUUGCUUCCCGUGAAUGACGAUCGAUGAUCGGCUCCAAAAAUCCUAAUCGGAGCACCCUUACACAAGAUCACUCUGCUGUGAGGGUGUAUGCCAGAUGCCAAGACAUGGUGGCAAUGUUCAAGAGAAAUGCCUGACAUGCCAACGUGUACAACCUGAGAAAAAAUCUGAAUAAAUGGUGAAGAAUAUGAGCAUCAGCUCAUACAUCAUGAAUUAAUAAAUGAUGAGCAUUG